rfam:Nematostella vectensis strain CH2 x CH6 NEMVEscaffold_350_Cont24649, whole genome shotgun sequence.
ACCAGGAUGGCCGAGUGGUUAAGGCGUUGGACUUAAGUUCAAAUGUACGGAUGUACGCGUGGGUUCGAACCCCACUCCUGGUA